UACGGAGGGUGCAAGCGUUAUCCGGAUUCACUGGGUUUAAAGGGUGCGUAGGCGGGCAGGUAAGUCAGGGGUGAAAUCUCCGAGCUUAACUCGGAAACUGCCGUUGAUACUAUUUGUCUUGAAUAUUGUGGAGGUAAGCGGAAUAUGUCAUGUAGCGGUGAAAUGCUUAGAUAUGACAUAGAACACCAAUUGCGAAGGCAGCUUACUACACAACGAUUGACGCUGAGGCACGAAAGCGUGGGGAUCAAACAGG
rnacentral:rRNA from 1 species